rnacentral:rRNA from 1 species
UACGGAGGGUGCAAGCGUUAUCCGGAUUCACUGGGUUUAAAGGGUGCGUAGGUGGUCUGUUAAGUCAGCGGUGAAAGCCUGGAGCUCAACUCCAGAAUUGCCAUUGAUACUGACGGACUUGAAUCAAGUUGAGGUGGAUGGAAUAUUACAUAUAGCGGUGAAAUGCUUAGAUAUGUAAUAGAACACCAAUUGCGAAGGCAGUUCACUAAGCUUGUAUUGACACUGAGGCACGAAAGCGUGGGGAUCAAACAGG